AAAAAAGGUAGAAGGUUUUGAUCCAUUAAAACGUUUAAUCCCGCUGCAAAUGUUUGCACCUGUCCUUAGUCAGGAAUCUGAUGUACAGUAGUUGUCGUUUGUUUAUGUAAUUUAUACGUGUUUCUCGUUUCUCGUUUUUUUUUAUUUUAUAUAGAUUAGACCGUUGGUUUUCCCGUUUGAAUGGUUUUACACUAGUAAUUUUAGGGCCCUUUAUAGCUUGUUAUUCGGUGUGAUCCAAGGCUCCGUGUUGAAGGCCGAACAUUGAACUAUAAUGGUUUACUUUUUUAAAA
rnacentral:lncRNA from 1 species